AACGAACGCUGGCGGCAUGCCUAACACAUGCAAGUCGAACGAGACCUUCGGGUCUAGUGGCGCACGGGUGCGUAACGCGUGGGAACCUGCCCUUAGGUUCGGAAUAACUCCCCGAAAGGGGUGCUAAUACCGGAUAAUGUCUUCGGACCAAAGAUUUAUCGCCUUUGGAUGGGCCCGCGUUGGAUUAGCUAGUUGGUAGGGUAAAAGCCUACCAAGGCGACGAUCCAUAGCUGGUCCGAGAGGAUGAUCAGCCACACUGUGACUGAGACACGGCCCAGACUCCUACGGGAGGCAGCAGUGGGGAAUAUUGGACAAUGGGCGAAAGCCUGAUCCAGCAAUGCCGCGUGAGUGAUGAAGGCCUUAGGGUUGUAAAGCUCUUUUACCCGGGAUGAUAAUGACAGUACCGGGAGAAUAAGCUCCGGCUAACUCCGUG
rnacentral:rRNA from 1 species